rnacentral:tRNA from 1 species
GCUGUGAUUGUAUAGUGGUGGAUACUCUGUAUCGUGGCUACAGCAACCCUGGUCCAAAUCCAGGUCAUGGUA